AUACGGAGGGUGCAAGCGUUAUCCGGAAUCAUUGGGUUUAAAGGGUCCGCAGGCGGAUUAAUAAGUCAGUGGUGAAAUCCUCUCGCUCAACGAGAGAACUGCCAUUGAAACUGUUAGUCUUGAAUUCGGUCGAAGUAGGCGGAAUGUGUCAUGUAGCGGUGAAAUGCAUAGAUAGGACACAGAACACCGAUAGCGAAGGCAGCUUACUAGACCUGGAUUGACGCUCAUGGACGAAAGCGUGGGGAGCGAACAGGAUUAGAAACCCUAGUAGUCC
rnacentral:rRNA from 1 species